rnacentral:ncRNA from 1 species
AGAGGUUGCGGCUAAAUUUAACUAUACACGGGGAAACAUACCACGUCCACAAUAGUAAGGAUUGACAGACCAAAAGCUCUUUCUUUAUUCUAUGGGUGGUGGUGCAUGGCCGUUUUUAGUUUGUGGAGCAAUUUUUCUUGUUAAUUCCAUUAACAAAAGAGACCUCAGCCUGCCAACUAGCUAUGCAGAGGUAUCUCUUCUCAGCCAGCAUCUUAGAGGUCCUACAACCUUUUAGGCCAUAAAAAUGUGAGGCAAUAACAAGUCUAUGAUGCCUUUAAAAUUUUUGGGUCGAACACCCACUACACUGAUGUAUUCAACGAGUUUAUAGCCUCUACUGAUGAUGUUGGGCAUAUAUAUACGUCUAAGCACCACAACUUACCUAUGUUUCAGCUAAGUUUUGAGGA